CAAGCGACUGUUUACCAAAAACAUAGGUUUCUGCUAAGUCGCAAGACGAUGUAUAGGAGCUGACGCCUGCCCGGUGCUGGAAGGUUAAGGGGAUCUGUUAGAGCAAUCGAAGCAGUGAACUUAAGCCCCAGUAAACGGCGGCCGUAACUAUAACGGUCCUAAGGUAGCGAAAUUCCUUGUCGGGUAAGUUCCGACCCGCACGAAAGGCGUAACGAUUUGGGCACUGUCUCAACAACAGACUCGGUGAAAUUGUAAUUCCGGUGAAGAUGCCGGAUACCUGCGACAGGACGGAAAGACCCCAUGGAGCUUUACUGUAGCUUGACAUUGGGUCUUGGUACUACAUGUACAGGAUAGGUGGGAGGCUUUGAAACCAGGACGCCAGUUUUGGCGGAGCCAUCCUUGGGAUACCACCCUUGUAGUACUGGGACUCUAACCAUAGGCCAUGAAUCUGGUCUUGGGACACUGUCAGGUGGGCAGUUUGACUGGGGCGGUCGCCUCCCAAAAGGUAACGGAGGCGCUCAAAGGUUCUCUCAGUACGGUCGGAAAUCGUACGUAGAGUGUAAAGGCAAAAGAGAGCUUGAUUGCAAGACAUACAGGUCGAGCAAGGAUGAAAAUCGGACUUAGUGAUCCGGUGGUUCUGCGUGGAAGGGCCAUCGCUCAACGGAUAAAAGCUACCCUGGGGAUAACAGGCUUAUCUCCCCCAAGAGUCCACAUCGACGGGGAGGUUUGGCACCUCGAUGUCGGCUCAUCACAUCCUGGGGCUGUAGUAGGUCCCAAGGGUUGGGCUGUUCGCCCAUUAAAGUGGUACGCGAGCUGGGUUCAGAACGUCGUGAGACAGUUCGGUCCCUAUCCGUCGCAGGCGUAGGAAAUUUGAGAAGACCUGUCCUUAGUACGAG
rnacentral:rRNA from 1 species